GUCUAUGGCCAUGCCACCCUGAACAUGCCCGAUCUCAUCUGAUCUCAGAAGCUAAGCAGGGUCAGGCCUGGUUAGUACUUGGAUAGGAGACCACCUAGGAAUACUAGGUGCUGUAGGCA
rnacentral:rRNA from 1 species